UACGUAGGGGGCAAGCGUUGUCCGGAUUUAUUGGGCGUAAAGAGCGUGUAGGCGGCCAGGUAGGUCUGCUGUGAAAACUCGAGGCUUAACCUCGAGAUGUCGGCGGAAACCAUCUGGCUAGAGUCCGGAAGAGGAGAAUGGAAUUCCCGGUGUAGCGGUGAAAUGCGCAGAUAUCGGGAAGAACACCCGUGGCGAAGGCAGCUCGCUGGGACGUUACUGACGCUGAGACGCGAAAGCGUGGGGAGCAAACAGG
rnacentral:rRNA from 1 species